GUGAUUACGGGUUUCGACC
rnacentral:snRNA from 1 species